rnacentral:rRNA from 1 species
UAGGCUCGAAAUGUACAGGAAUCCGGUGGAAACAUCGGCGUCCCGCAAGGGAUCUGUAUAU